rnacentral:rRNA from 1 species
UACGUAGGGGGGCAAGCGUUGUCCGGAUUUAUUGGGCGUAAAGAGCGUGUAGGCGGCCUGACAGGUCUGCUGUGAAAACUCGAGGCUCAACCUCGAGAUGUCGGCGGAAACCGUCUGGCUAGAGUCCGGAAGAGGAGAGUGGAAUUCCUGGUGUAGCGGUGAAAUGCGCAGAUAUCAGGAGGAACACCGGUGGCGAAGGCGGUCUGCUGGGCAGUUGCUGACACUGAGGCGCGACGAGCGUGGGGAGCAAACAGG